GGUUAUUUCUUCUCAUCUUCUUAAUAUUAAAUCAUUUUAAACAAUAGAAUCAAAUCAAGUCAUUGAACUUCUUGAUUGAACAUUAGGUCCCCUGUUCGACAACAUACAAUCUUGCCUUUUAUUAUAUGAUAGACCCCAUUGGAAACCAUUCCUUUACUUAAAAAGUUUUGUCAAAGGCGACGAUGCAUAUAGGAAUUCAAGGGGUCUUGGAUAGUAAAGCAAAGUGUGGGAAAAAAAGAUUGUUUGGUUGGCCAAGGUGGGUAUGCAGAGCUUCAAAUAGGCUCUCCGGUUACCAUCAACCAUAGUGUUUUUAUUACUAGUCAGAAGAUGUUGAAGAAGUUGA